CCGUUCGAGCGUCAUUACACCCCUCAAGCCUGGCUUGGUAUUGGGCGACGGCAGUCUGCCGCGCCUCGAAGUGAUCGGCUGGACGGUUUGAAUCUCAGCGUUGUGGUUUCAUCAAUUCGCUGGCGAGGACGACCGGACGCGCCGUUAAACCUCAAUCACAGGUUGACCUCGGAUCGGGUAGGGAUACCCGCUGAACUUAA
rnacentral:misc_RNA from 1 species